rnacentral:rRNA from 1 species
GAUGAACGCUGGCGGCGUGCCUAAUACAUGCAAGUCGAGCGAACAGACGAGGAGCUUGCUCCUCUGACGUUAGCGGCGGACGGGUGAGUAACACGUGGAUAACCUAUCUAUAAGACUGGGAUAACUUCGGGAAACCGGAGCUAAUACCGGAUAAUAUAUUGAACCGCAUGGUUCAAUAGUGAAAGACGGUUUUGCUGUCACUUAUAGAUAGAUCCGCGCCGCAUUAGCUAGUUGGUAAGGUAACGGCUUACCAAGGCAACGAUGCGUAGCCGACCUGAUAGGGUGAUCGACCAGACUGGAACUGAGACACGGUCGAGACUCCUACGGGAGGCCGCAGUAGGGAAUCUUCCGCAAUGGGCGAAAGCCUGACGGAGCAACGCCGCGUGAGUGAUGAAGGUCUUCGGAUCGUAAAACUCUGUUAUUAGGGAAGAACAAAUGUGUAAGUAACUAUGCACGUCUUGACGGUACCUAAUCAGAAAGCCACGGCUAACUACGUG